CCAUGGUCCUGGGCAGGAUGUGACCCUGGUGGCCAGGCUGUAGUCCUGGUGGUCAGGACAUGGUUCUGGUGGCCAGGCCAUAGUGCUGGUGGCCAGGCCAUAGUCCUGGGCAGGUCACCCUGGUGGCCAGGCUGUGAUCUUGGUGGCCAGGCCAUAGUCCUGGUGGCCAGGCCAUGUUCCUGGGCAAGAUGUCACCCUGAUGGACAGGCUGGGGUCCUGGUGGUCAGGCCAUGGUCCUGGGCAGGUCACCUUGGUGGCCAGGCCAUAGUCCUGGGCUGGAUGUCACCCUGAUGGCCAGGAUGUGGUCCUGGUUGCCAGGCUGUAGUCCUGGUGGCCAGGCCGUGGUCCUGGGCAGGAUGUGACCCUGGUGGCCAGACCAUGGUCCUGGUGGCCAGGCUGUAAUCCUGGGCAGGAUGUCACCCUGGUGGCCAGGCCAUAGUCCUGGUGGUCAGGCUGUGGUCCUGGUGGUCAGGACACAAUCCUGGUGGUCAGGCCAUGGUGUUCUGGUGGCCAGGCUGUGGUCCUGGGCAGGAUGUCACCCUGGUGGCCAGGCCAUGUUCCUGGUGGCCAGGCUGUGAUCCUGGGCAGGAUGUCACCCUGAUGGCCAGGAUGUCACUCUGGUGGCCAGGCCAUGUUCCUGGUGGCCAGGCUGUGGUCCUGGUGCCCUGGCCAUGGUCCUGGUGGUCAGGACAUAGUCCUGGUAGCCAGGCCAUGGUCCUGGGCUGGAUGGAACCCUGGUGGCCAGGCUGUGCUCCUGGUGGUCAGGCCAUAGUGGUCAGGACAUGUUCCUGGUGGUCAGGCCAUAGUCCUGGUGGCCAGGCCGUGAUCCUGAUGGCCAGGCUGUGGUCCUGGUGGUCAGGACACAAUCCUGGUGGUCAGGACAUAGUCUUGAUGGCCAGGCCAUAGUCCUGGUGGCCAGGCUGUAGUCCUGGACAGGAUGUCACCCUGGUGGCCAGGCCAUGGUCCUGGGCUGGUCACCCUGGUGGCCAGGCUGUGGUCCUAGUCUCCAGGCUGUAGUCCUGGGCAGGAUGUCACCCUGGUGGUCAAGCCAUGUUCCUGGUGGCCAGGCCAUGUUCCUGGUGGCCAGGCCAUGGUCCUGGUGCCCAGGCCUUGUUCCUGGUGGCCAGGCCAUGGUCCCAGUCUCCAGGCUGUGCUCCUGGGCAGGUGCUGUAGGUGACUGCAGUGCUUCUUGCACGAGUAAGGAACCAUUUCCAGUGCUGGGAUUGAAUCCUGCUUCCAGUUCUGUCAGUGGGAAUUCCCAAUGGAUCUGGAUGGAAUUCCAAGCUCUGCUCCCUCCCUGGAUGUGUCAUGCUUAUCCCAUGGUCCAUCAAGUAUUUCUGAUUCCUUUGCAAAUUAAUGGACCUGUAGCAAGCAGAGCUCUUUGCCAUGAGGAAUCUGCAUUCCACAAUCUCCUGGUUUUGGGCUAGAAAAGGAUUUUUUUAUUUUCCCUGAAGUUCCCAAGUCUCUGAUUGUUGUGAGUCCCAAUGUGUUUCCUUUAGGCCAGGCUGGAGUCUGACUCCUGGUGUCAGGAAAAAAAGUUUUGUGGCACAUCAGAAAUAAAGCUGGGAAAGUCCUAAACUGAGGGAGCUGCUCCUGGAGAGGUGUUUGCUGUUUCUGUGGUGGAAUUUCAGGAAAAUGGAACAGCCUGGAACCUCAGAGACCUGGACCUUCCCUCAGCUCUGCUAAGCUGGCAUGUGGGAGAGGCUUUGACUGCAGUUCUGAACUGCUCUGGGAACUCUGUGCUAGCUCAUCCUCACUGUGUUCUCUCUUUUUUUUUUUCUUUUGUAAUAUGGAACAAUAAUAAACAAAAACUAUCACGUGUUGAGACUGUAAAAACCUGGUGGCCAAUUCUUCCUGUCCUGCCAGACACACCAGGAGUCAGUUUUUAUAUUCUUAAAAUCAUGUGUUGGAAAGAACAGCUGGAUUUUCAUCAUGGGAAUAUUACACAGUAACACAGGUUUGUUCUUUAAGCACUGAUUAUGAAGUUCUUAGUCUGGAUUUACUUUCAAAUCUCGAUUUUUAAAGAGUAAAAUCUCAUUCCUGAGGGUAAGAGGUGCAGCAGCUGAUGCUGUUCUGGUUGGUUCCAAACAGUCCAUGCUUUCCAUGAAUUGUAAAUAUUUGUUGAAACAAUUAAUGGUUGCAAAUUUUGAUCUUGGUAAAUAAAAGUCGCUAAAAUAUUCUAA